CGCUUUUGAGUCACUGAUCUGGCCAUGCCCUUCCUCAAAGAUAUGGAAAGUUGAAUCCUCGUCGUCGUGUACCAACAAGCGUUAUGUAACGACUGGUGGUAGCUCUAGCAGGAAAGAUAGCUUUUUUAGGAUUCAGAAAUAUGGAAACGAACAAAAUACUUACAAGCUCGUUCAUUACCAGAGCUACUCGGCUAUAAACGGUAUUAAGAGUGUUGGUACCACCACCAGCUUUUACGGUGACCCCAUACUUGUUCUUAACGAUGAUGAUGACGAUACCGAUGCCUUUCCAGUUAAGUUCCG
rnacentral:lncRNA from 1 species